rnacentral:antisense_RNA from 1 species
GAUAACCAAGGAUAAUUCUAGGGUCGAGAGUAGGAUUAACUAAUCUAACUUCUCCACCACCAGGUGCCCAAGUAUCAUAAGCUCCUCCUCCAAACAUCCAGUUAGCUGUGAAGAAUAAAGCACCAACACCUAAAACGAUUAAGUGAUAACCAAGGAUAUUGGUCAUUUGGUUUUUAUCUCUCCA